rnacentral:rRNA from 1 species
AACGAACGCUGGCGGCAUGCCUAACACAUGCAAGUCGAACGAGACCUUCGGGUCUAGUGUCGCACGGGUUCGUAACGCGUGGGAACCUUCCCUUAUGUUCGGAAUAACUCCCCGAAAGGGGUGCUAAUACCGGAUAAUGUCUUCUGACCAAAGAUUUAUGGCCUUUGGUUGGUCGCGCGUUGGAUUAGCUAUUUGUUAGGGUAAAAGCAUACCAAGGCGAGGAUCGAUAGAUUGUCUGAGAGGAUGAUAAGCCACACUGGGAGUGAGACACGGCACAGACUCCUACGGGAGGCAGGAGUGGGGAAUAUUGGAAAAUGGGCGAAAGCCUGAUCCAGCAAUGACGCGUGAGUGAUGAAGGGAUUAGGGUAGAAAAGCUCUAUUACCAGGGAUGAUAAUGACAGUACCGGGAGAAUAAGCUCCGGCUAACUACGUG